AAAUUGAAGAGUUUGAUCAUGGCUCAGAUUGAACGCUGGCGGCAGGCCUAACACAUGCAAGUCGAACGGUAACAGGAAGCAGCUUGCUGUUUCGCUGACGAGUGGCGGACGGGUGAGUAAUGUCUGGGAAACUGCCUGAUGGAGGGGGAUAACUACUGGAAACGGUAGCUAAUACCGCAUAACGUCGCAAGACCAAAGAGGGGGACCUUCGGGCCUCUUGCCAUCGGAUGUGCCCAGAUGGGAUUAGCUUGUUGGUGGGGUAACGGCUCACCAAGGCGACGAUCCCUAGCUGGUCUGAGAGGAUGACCAGCCACACUGGAACUGAGACACGGUCCAGACUCCUACGGGAGGCAGCAGUGGGGAAUAUUGCACAAUGGGCGCAAGCCUGAUGCAGCCAUGCCGCGUGUAUGAAGAAGGCCUUCGGGUUGUAAAGUACUUUCAGCGGGGAGGAAGGGAGUAAAGUUAAUACCUUUGCUCAUUGACGUUACCCGCAGAAGAAGCACCGGCUAACUCCGUGCCAGCAGCCGCGGUAAUACGGAGGGUGCAAGCGUUAAUCGGAAUUACUGGGCGUAAAGCGCACGCAGGCGGUUUGUUAAGUCAGAUGUGAAAUCCCCGGGCUCAACCUGGGAACUGCAUCUGAUACUGGCAAGCUUGAGUCUCGUAGAGGGGGGUAGAAUUCCAGGUGUAGCGGUGAAAUGCGUAGAGAUCUGGAGGAAUACCGGUGGCGAAGGCGGCCCCCUGGACGAAGACUGACGCUCAGGUGCGAAAGCGUGGGGAGCAAACAGGAUUAGAUACCCUGGUAGUCCACGCCGUAAACGAUGUCGACUUGGAGGUUGUGCCCUUGAGGCGUGGCUUCCGGAGCUAACGCGUUAAGUCGACCGCCUGGGGAGUACGGCCGCAAGGUUAAAACUCAAAUGAAUUGACGGGGGCCCGCACAAGCGGUGGAGCAUGUGGUUUAAUUCGAUGCAACGCGAAGAACCUUACCUGGUCUUGACAUCCACAGAACUUUCCAGAGAUGGAUUGGUGCCUUCGGGAACUGUGAGACAGGUGCUGCAUGGCUGUCGUCAGCUCGUGUUGUGAAAUGUUGGGUUAAGUCCCGCAACGAGCGCAACCCUUAUCCUUUGUUGCCAGCGGUCCGGCCGGGAACUCAAAGGAGACUGCCAGUGAUAAACUGGAGGAAGGUGGGGAUGACGUCAAGUCAUCAUGGCCCUUACGACCAGGGCUACACACGUGCUACAAUGGCGCAUACAAAGAGAAGCGACCUCGCGAGAGCAAGCGGACCUCAUAAAGUGCGUCGUAGUCCGGAUUGGAGUCUGCAACUCGACUCCAUGAAGUCGGAAUCGCUAGUAAUCGUGGAUCAGAAUGCCACGGUGAAUACGUUCCCGGGCCUUGUACACACCGCCCGUCACACCAUGGGAGUGGGUUGCAAAAGAAGUAGGUAGCUUAACCUUCGGGAGGGCGCUUACCACUUUGUGAUUCAUGACUGGGGUGAAGUCGUAACAAGGUAACCGUAGGGGAACCUGCGGUUGGAUCACCUCCUUACCUUAAAGAAGC
rnacentral:rRNA from 2 species